ACGCGGGUUAGUGUAAUUAGUAACACGUUCGGCUCAUGUCCGAAUAUCGAGGUGCAAGUCCUUACCCGCAUC
rnacentral:tRNA from 1 species